rnacentral:rRNA from 1 species
GUCUUUAAGAAUUUAAUUUUAAGUCAAAUCUGCCCAAUGAAUUAUAUUUUUAAUGGCUGCAGAAUUUUAACUGUACAAAGGUAGCAUAAUAAUUUGUUUUUUAAUUAAAAACUAGAAUGAAAGAUUUAAUGAAAUAUAAACUUUUUCAAUUAAAUUAAUUAUUAAAUUUUUUAUUUAAGUAAAAAAACUUAAAUAAAUUUUAAAGACGAUAAGACCCUAUAGAAUUUUAUUUAUUUAUAUUUUUAUAAAAAAAAUUUAAUAAAUUUUAUUGGGGUAAUAAAAAAAUUUAUAUAAUUUUUUAUAAAAAAUACAUUUUUAAAUGAACAAUCAAUCUUAAUUUUUAAAUUAAAAAAAUUAAUUACCUUAGGGAUAACAGCAUAAUUUUUUUUAAAAGAUCUCAUUAAUAAAAAAGAUUAU